rnacentral:lncRNA from 1 species
GGUGAUGGUGGGGGAGUCCUCUGUACAGUAGAGAGGUGAUGUGUGGGAGUCCUCUGUACAGUAGAGAGGUGAUAGUGUUGGAGUCCUCUGUACAGUAGAGAGGUGAUGGUAGGGGAGUCCUCUGUACAGUAGAGUGGUGAUGGUGGGGGGAGUCCUCUGUACAGUAGAGAGGUGAUGGUGGGGGAGUCCUCUGUACAGUAGAGAGGUGAUGGUGUUGGAGUCCUCUGUACAGUAAAGAGGUGAUGGUGUUGGAGUCCUCUGUACAGUAAAGAGGUGAUGGUGUUGGAGUCCUCUGUACAGUAGAGAGGUGAUGGUGUGGGAGUCCUCUGUACAGUAGAGAGGUGAUGGUGGGGGAGUCCUCUGUACAGUAGAGAGGUGAUGGUGUGGGAGUCCUCUGUACAGUAGAGAGGUGAUGGUGGGGGAGUCCUCUGUACAGUAGAGAGGUGAUGGUGUGGGAGUCCUCUGUACAGUAGAGAGGUGAUGGUGUGGGAGUCCUCUGUACAGCAGAGAGGUGAUGGUGGGGGAGUCCUCUGUACAGUAGAGAGGUGAUGUUGGGGGAGUCCUCUGUACAGUAGAGAGGUGAUGGUGUGGGAGUCCUCUGUACAGUAGAGAGGUGAUGGUGUGGGAGUCCUCUGUACAGUAGAGAGGUGAUAGUGUUGGAGUCCUCUGUACAGUAAAGAGGUGAUGGAGUUGGAGUCCUCUGUACAGUAGAGAGGUGAUGGUGUUGGAGUCCUCUGUACAGCAGAGAGGUGAUGUGUGGGAGUCCUCUGUACAGUAGAGAGGUGAUGGUGGGGGAGUCCUCUGUACAGCAGAGAGGUGAUGGUGGGGGAGUCCUCUGUACAGUAGAGAGGUGAUGGUGUGGGAGUCCUCUGUACAGUAGGGAGGUGAUGGUGGGGGAGUCCUCUGUACAGUAGAGAGGUGAUGGUGGGGGAGUCCUCUGUACAGUAGAG